AACGUAGGGGGCCAGCGUUGCUCGGAAUUACUGGGCGUAAAGGGUCCGUAGGCGGUGCGGCAAGUCGGAAGUGAAAUCUCUGGGCUUAACCCAGAGGCUGCUCCCGAAACUGCCGUGCUCGAGUGCGAGAGAGGCGAGCGGAAUUGCGGGUGUAGCGGUGAAAUGCGUAGAUAUCCGCAGGAACAUCCGAGGCGAAAGCGGCUCGCUGGAUCGCAACUGACGCUGAGGGACGAAAGCUAGGGGAG
rnacentral:rRNA from 1 species